AUCAAAGUGUAGCAUCUUACCCCAAGUCUGCCUUUGUGUACUGGCCCUAUAUACAUAUAUAUAUAUAUAUAUGUAUAUAUAUAUAUGUAUGUAUGUAUAUAUAUGUGUAUAUAUAUAUAUAUAUAUAUUUUUUGGUCUCUGUUGCCUUUCACAUGGACAUUUAAAACUGUGUGUCUAUUCCUUGAAUUCUUUUAUUCUUCUGCCUUUUUUUUUUUUUUUUUAAUAUUGACACCCUAGACUUUCCAAGUGACUUCCAGCAACCCAGCUUCCCUGGUGCCUCAGCAGCAAGGAACCCGACUGCCAGUGCAGGAGAAGAGUUCAGUCAGUGGGUGCGGAAGAUCCCCGGGAGUAGGAAGUGGCUCCCCAUCCCAGUAUUCCUUCAUGGGGGAUCCCAUGGACAGAGGAGCCUGGCAGGCUACAGUCCAUGGAGUUGCAGAGUCUCAGACACGGCUGAGUAUGAAGGCUCCAGCAACCUCAGAGCAUCUGUCUCUACUGAUCGUGGGCUAGCACGGCUCUUACGGACUCUUCCCCCAUGGCCCCACUUGAGUUUGGUCUGAGGAAACAACAAACCAUUUCCACUGCAAAGCAUCUUCGACUGAGAAACUUUCAACUGCGCUGAAAAACCGAAGACAAAUUUUCCUUCCCUCUCAUUUGAAAGGACUUAAAAAAGAAAUAAAUCGUCAGAGGUUUAAAGUUAAUACUCAGGAUGAAUGAUGAUAAUUCAGAUGGCAAGACAGAAGAUGAACUGCAAUCCUUGUGUAUCUGUGAUAAAAAUGGAAACACAUAUGCAUGCAACCGAAAACCACCACCUACCCAAAACGCUGCAACCAAUAAUGUGAGUUGGCAUUGCGCCGACCCAAAUGGCGUGGUGGGUGACUAUGAAACUGGCUCUGAUGUGGACAUUGGUGAAAACAUUUCUUUAAACCCUCAGUGUGUUGAAGUACACGAUCACCAAAAGUCUUCAAGUAAUUUCAUCAGUGAGGAGGCAUUAGAGGUGCACACGGAUGCCACGUGUCCAUCUUUUGCACAGGUUGUAAAUACAGCGGAACCCAAAUAUUUGCAUAGCAGUUGUCAUUCCCUAGGAUCGUUGAACCAGAGUGUUGAGACAUCUCUAACUUGUGUAUGGAAAACUAACAAUGAUGAUUUGAACUGUACAGACAAUCCUACUGCCUUACUGCUCAACCAGACUUUUGACAUAAAAGUGGAUAAUGUUAACUGUACCUUCGUAACACACGAUACCACUGGAAAAAGUCAGUCUUUGCCUACCACUGCAAGCCUGCAGCCAACCAACACGAGAAGCAUAAAUACAUCUUUAUCCUGUUCCAUUCUUCCAUCUUCCCAUUCUGAUAAGAUACAUGUAAGAGAAAUAAGUUGUGAUCGAGAGAGCUUUGAAAAUUCUCAACCUGCAGCAUCACAGGCCCAGGACACAACUUACGCAGUAUUUUCUGACAUGGUGAUGCAAAUUGAUGUUGUUGUUCCAGAUACCGAAAAUCAGUGCCACCAUUCUUUGGGAAAGGUCGCCAGUGAGUACCCAGAUGGAGCACAGCAAAGACGAGGCAGAGAAAAGGAGAUACAAGCUCUAACACAAGUUUCUGAUGGCAUGGAUGCUCCCAGUGGGUCUGUAUCACAAGAGUUCUUUUGUCCAUCUAAAGAUGAACCAAAUAGGGAGACACAUUCAUGGAGCUCAUAUGGGCAAAAGGAAAUGGGCCAAAAUGUAAAAGAAACAGUGUCCAAUUGUCUUAUAGAUGAUGAAUGCCCUUUACUGGUGCCAGCUGUUAAUAAAAGCAAAACCCAAGUGCUGGGCCCAAAACACCAAGUCACUGUGACUAAAGACACACCAACUGCCUUCAAUGAAAAGCAUUUGGGAACCCAAAAUCGUACCAUAGAACUGAUACCAAAUAGCCCGCCAGGACAAAAGGAAGCGUCACUACUUGAGCUGACUUGGAAUGCAGAUGAUAUGGUCAUCAGUACAGAUAACAGAAUUUGCAUGUCCACACCAGUCCUUGAACCCAUGAACACAACCUUUUCUGUCUCACCUGUUGAAGGCGUGGAGAAAUGUAGCAAAGUGCAGACGAGUAAUCGAGAGCCCCGAUGUUUACCAAAUUUGAAGGCAGCACCAAUGAUUGUGUCAAAACUUAACCUAGGAAAAUCUACCACCAAAGCAAAUAGCCCCCUAGGCAGCAAAGUUCGAAAAACCAAAAUUAUAAGUUACCCAAGACCAAACUUCAAGAACAUUAAAGCAAAAGUUGUAUCCAGACCCGUGUUGCAGCCCAAGGACCCUGCUCUAUCAAAGGCUGCGCCCAGACCUCAGUUAACUGGUGCCUCGUCUCCCUCAUCAGUGUCUUCCUCAAGACAGUCAACGGGUUUAAGCAAAACAGCAACAUGUGACUUGAAUGCAGACCCCAAAGCAGAAAUUCCAAUAAACAAGACGCAUAAGCAGCAGUUUAAUAAACUCAUUACGAGCCAGGCUGUGCAUGUUACAACUCAUUCUAAAAAUGCUUCACACAAGAAGCAUCCAAGAACAACAUCUGCCAUGAAAUCAAAUCAGGAAGAUGUUGACAAAGCAAGUUCUUCCAAUCCAGCGUGUGAGACUGGGUCCGUGGCUGCGGUUUUUCAGAUCAAAGAUGAGCUCCCUGUGAAAAUGGAAAGCACAGAAGGCUUGGAAGUGCCCUCUGCUUCCCACGUCGAUAGGAUUAGCCCUGAAAAGAAGGGUGAAGAAGAAAAUGGGACACCAGUGGCAAAACAGGAGCUAAAAAAGGAAAUCCUGAGUGAGACCUCUGCCUUUGGUUCUCUGUUUUUGGAUUCCGCUUCCAAACUUGCAAGCAUCUCAGGUGGGAAACCGGCUACACCCAACUCCUCCAUUCUGAGGAAAACACCUGGUCCGAAAGCCAGAGUGGGGCCUUCUGUUUCCUGUUUGAGGCGGAAUAGCGACAGCAGAAAUCUCACCUCCGAUCGGGCCGUGUCUCCCCAGAGGAUCAGGCGUGUGUCCAGUUCUGGAAAACCUGCAUCCUUGAAAACAGCGCAGCCGUCUCGUGUGAAUCUGCCCAGAUUGCUUCCUAGACCCAAAGCAUCUGUGAAAAACCCUGCGCUGCGGAGGACAGAAAGCGCCUCCUCUGUCGCCAGCAUCCACAGUGAGCUGAGCGCUUACAGCAAUAACUAUCCUUCAAGAAAAAGUCUAUUUACAGCCUUGAAUACAGUUGAGAAGGGCAGACAGAAGAGUCCCCGAAGUCUGUGCAUCCAGACCCAGACAUCCCCAGAUGUGCUGUCCUCUGAGAAAGCACUUGAGUUGGCUCAAUAUAAAAGCAAAUGUACGAAGCAAAGUGGAGUUAUCCUGCAGCUCAAGCAGCUUCUUUCCCUGGGCAACACCAAGUUUGAGGCAUUAACAGUUGUGGCUCAGCACCUGCUGUCUCAGCGAGAGGAAGCACUGAAACAAAACAAAACCCUAUCUCAAGAACUUGUCAACCUCCGGGGAGAGCUAGUCACUGUUUCAACCACCUGUGAGAAGUUAGAAAAAGCCAGGAAUGAGUUGCAAAUAGCUUAUGAAGGAUUUGUCCAGAAGUUAAACCAGCAGCACCAGACUGAUCUAACAGAGCUGGAGAAUCGGCUUAAAGAAUUUUACACUGGGGAAUGUGAAAAGCUUCAGAACAUCUACAUAGAAGAAGCAGAGAAAUACAAAACUCAAUUGCAGGAGCAGUUUGACAACUUAAAUGCUACCCACGAAACCUCUAAGUUGAAAAUCGAAGCAAGCCACUCCGAGAAAAUAGAAUUGCUAAAGAAGUCCUAUGAAAAUUCCCUUUCAGAAAUCAAGAAAAGCCAUGAAAUGGAAAAGAAAUCCCUCGAGGAUCUGCUUUACGAGAAGCAGGAAUCACUAGAGAAACAAAUCAGUGAUCUGAAGAGUGAAAAUGAUGCUUUAAAUGAAAAGUUGAAAUCAGAAGAACAGAAAAGAGUAUCAAGAGAGAAAGCAAAUUUAAAAAACCCUCAGAUCAUGUAUCUGGAGCAAGAGUUAGAAAGCCUGAAAGCCGUGUUAGAGAUCAAGAAUGAGAAGCUGCGCCAACAGGACGUCAAGUUAAUGAAGAUGGAGAAACUGGUGGACAAUAACACAGCGCUGGUAGACAAACUGAAGCGAUUCCAGCAGGAGAAUGAAGAACUAAAAGCUCGGAUGGACAAGCACAUGGCAAUUUCAAGGCAACUUUCCACGGAGCAAGCGGUCCUGCAGGAGUCGCUGGAGAAGGAGUCCAAGGUCAACAAGCGCCUCUCCAUGGAGAACGAGGAGCUGCUCUGGAAGCUCCACAAUGGGAACCUGUGCAGCCCCAAGAGGUCCCCCACGUCCCCCGCCGCCCCCUUCCAGUCGCCUCGGAACUCCGGCUCCUUCCCCAGCCCCAGUGUCUCUUACCCAGAAGACCUUCCUGGGAGCCAGAGAGAGACAGACAGCAUCUCUGCAGGACUGACCCCGCCCGCAACUGCGCACCACCCGCCCUAG
rnacentral:lncRNA from 1 species